UACGUAGGGGGCUAGCGUUGUCCGGAUUUAUUGGGCGUAAAGAGCGUGUAGGCGGCCAGAUAGGUCUGCUGUGAAAACUCGAGGCUCAACCUCGAGAUGUCGGCGGAAACCAUUUGGCUAGAGUCCGGAAGAGGAAAGUGGAAUUCCUGGUGUAGCGGUGAAAUGCGCAGAUAUCAGGAAGAACACCCGUGGCUAAGGCGGCUCUCUAGUACGUGACUGACGCUGAGACGCGAAAGCGUGGGGAGCGAACAGG
rnacentral:rRNA from 1 species